CUGGCAAGCACCGGAGGUCGGUGGACGACCAGGAACCAGAGGAGUCGUCCAAGCGCCGGAAGCACCACCGCCACCACCACCACCGCCGCCACCGCCACCACCAUCACAGCAAAGACGGCGGGGAGAGGGACGAGGCAGAGAACGCUGCUCCCGUGGCGGAGGUGGAUGCGGCAUCCUUUGCCGUUCCAAAGCCUGGUGUUGACGACCGGGAGGAGGGAGAGAUUUUUGAAGACGAAGAGGGAGGUGGAGAAAUCAACGGCGAGAAAGACGCUGGCAUGGAGUUAGAAGGAGCUUCCGAUGUGGAAUCAGGCGAGAUCAAGGCGGAAGGUGCCGAUGCUUAUUCCAAACGGUAUUCCUUAGAAUUUCAUUGAAUUAGUCGAAAUUACAUCAAGAAUAAGAGAAAGAGACGCUAAGAAGAUCAGCUGCUGAAGUUCAUAUUGGAAAGGUAGCUUCCAGGGAUAAAGAUGCAUUGUCACGCAAUAGUCUGAAGGUGCCAAAUUUUAAUCAGAAUACAUUGACCGAUGAAAGCAUGUUGGACAAAUCUCAGUAUUUUGAGAAGUUUACUGGCAAGGAUGAAACUCAAGUUGAAGGAUAUGAUGCAAAUGGAGGGACACGUGCUUGGGAGUCUGGUAAUAUAUCGGCAAAUGAUGGGGAGAAUGAAGGAGCCCCCAGACAAACACAAUCGAAGUCACCUUUGAAAGGAGCCGAGAAGGAAAAGAAGCACAAGGGCAUUGUUACACAUGAAACAAAAGGUCGGUUGAGAACAAGAUCUCCUGUGCCUAGAGAAAGUUCGCAUGCAACAAAGCACAGGAAAAGGGAUGACUAUGAUAUUGAAAAUUCCGAUCGUAACUUGGAGAGGCUUCAAUUGAGCCUGCAUAGGGAACCACGAGAUGUUGACAGUAAAGUAUCACAUAAAAAGGAUAAAUCCAUAUCACCCAAAAAUUUGCGGGAGAGAUACAAAGACACCAGACGAUCUCCAUCUUGUAGCAGGCGCACUGGUGAAGCCAAUCAUAGGGAUCGGUCAAGGUCUUGUGACCAUAUGAGGGAGCUAUCUAAUGAGAGGAGUUCAGACUCUUAUGUGGAUGGUGGUGCUCAUUCUGGCCAGUUUGAGUUGCAAGGUACUGGUAGGAAUGAGUUGGGCAGAAAUGCAGCCAGAAGUCGAACAAGUGAAAGAGGGGUACACAGGGAAAGAGAGAGGAGUAGUAGUUAUAGCAGACUUGAUGGAUGGGAGGACAAGCAUGGCACUUGGGAAAGAGAAAGGGAGAGAGAAAGGUACAGUAACAGAACAAGAGACAGAGAUAACAUGGAAGUGGAUAAGGUUGCUUGUAGAGAAAGGGAGAGGAGCAGUAGCUAUAGCAGACAUGACAGGUGGGAGGACAAGCAUCGAGGUCGGGAUGGAGGCAGGGGAAGAGAAAGAUACGGUAGUAGUAAAGACAGAGAUAGAGAGAAGCUGAGGGAUAUGAGUAGGGAGAGGUAUAGAGCGAGGGAGAGGGUAAGGGAUGUUGAUGGUGAUCGUCAAAGGGACAGAGAUUGUGAAGAUAGGGGUAGGAAUCGGGCUAGAGAUGGGGACAUGCAUAUGCAUGUGGAUAGAGAACAAAGUGGAUUGAUGGAAAGGGAUAGGGUUAGUAUUCAGGACAGGCAUAGAGAUUAUAGGCGUUCAAGAUAUGAUGAAGUGGAACAUCGCAACGAGAAAACAAGAUCUAAAGAAUCCACCAAGGAAAGUAGUUAUAAUAGAAACAAUCAGGAAGAAGAAAAAGUGGAAUCUAUCAGGGAGGCAGAUGAAGAGGACUAUCAAGAAAGAAUUGAACAACAGCUUGCAAAACAGGAUGAGGAAGAUGUUGAUAAAAUCAAGGAGGAAAGCAGAAAAAGGAGACAAGCUAUCCUGGAAAAAUAUAAGCAGCAGCAACUGCAACAACAUGUGGAAUCUUUAUCUAAUGAUAAUGAGAAAGAGGAAAAGGCAUCUAUUGACAAGGACAAGCUGCAGGAGCUAAACCCUAUCAAAGCUGAUAAACAGGCUCACUAUGAAGAGCCUGGGAAUAGGCAUGAUACUUCAGAUAUUUAUGUUACUGAUCCAUCAUUUUCUGUGGGCAAGUCACCUACGCAAAAUGGACCAUCAGUUAAUGAGAAAACAACUGGUGCUCGGGGGCUUGGAGAGGGUACUCCCAAGAGUGAGAAAUCAGCAGAUAUGUUUUCUGAUGACAUCUUUGGAGAAUCACCUGCUGGAGUUCGUAAAUCGGGCAAAGGAGACGACCUGCAAAUUGAUAAAAGUGGUCUUCAUGACAACUGGGAUGAUGCAGAGGGUUACUAUAGUUACAGGUUUGGAGAAGUGCUUGAUGGUCGUUAUGAAGUUAUUGCAGCUCAUGGCAAAGGUGUUUUUUCAACUGUCGUCCGAGUGAAGGAUCUUAAAGCUGGGAAAGGUGAUCCUGAAGAAGUAGCCAUAAAAAUCAUACGCAACAAUGAUACCAUGUACAAGGCAGGUCUUGAGGAAUUGGUCAUACUGAAGAAAUUGGCAGGCGCGGAUCCUGAGGACAAGCGCCACUGUGUUAGGUUUCUUUCAAGUUUCAAGUAUCGGAAUCAUCUUUGUUUAGUUUUUGAAUCUCUUAAUAUGAAUCUGCGUGAGGUUCUGAAGAAAUUUGGUCGUAAUAUUGGGCUUAAAUUGACUGCUGUGAGGGCAUAUGCUAAGCAGCUUUUUAUUGCAUUGAAGCAUCUAAGAAACUGUGGUGUUCUGCACUGUGAUAUAAAGCCAGAUAACAUGCUGGUAAAUGAGGCUAAAAAUGUGCUAAAGCUCUGUGAUUUUGGCAAUGCUAUGUUUGCUGGUAAGAAUGAAAUAACACCAUACUUGGUCAGCCGCUUCUAUCGUGCCCCAGAAAUAAUUCUUGGAUUGUCUUAUGAUCAUCCGAUGGAUAUGUGGUCGGUUGGUUGCUGUUUAUAUGAACUUUAUACAGGGAAAGUCCUUUUUCCUGGUCCAUCAAACAAUGACAUGCUUCGGCUCCACAUGGAGUUGAAGGGUCCUUUCCCAAAGAAGAUGCUUCGGAAGGGUGCCUUUGCUGAUCAGCAUUUUGAUCAGGAUUUAAAUUUUCAUGCAACAGAGGAGGAUCCUGUUACAAAGAAGCCUGUUAAGAGACUGCUUCUCAAUAUUAAGCCAAAGGACAUUGGUGCCCUCAUAUCAAGCUAUCCUGGAGAGGAUCCCAAAAUGUUAUCCAAUUUUAAAGAUCUUCUAGAAAGAAUAUUUGUAUUGGAUCCAGAAAAGAGGAUGACAGUAUCUCAAGCAUUGAGUCAUCCAUUUAUCACGGGCAAGUGAACUAAGAUGCUGAUUUUUCUGACUGCAAAUAUGAUGUUGAGCAUGCCUCUUCCUAGUGAUCUAAAUUUCUAUUUAGUCAUCUAAUUCUUCGGCAUUUAUCUGUCUUUUCCCUGCUGCAUCGGAGCUUUAAGUUUGGAAUGCAUGGAUGAAGCUGGAAGAGAUGAUGGUCGAAAAAAAUGACCUUCCUGCAUGGCAAUGCUUAUCAGUGGGAUGUGUUCUGUUUCUUGGUUUCUGCCAGGCUAUGAGGCUAGCAACAAUGUUUUAGAUGCUAAAAGGCAACCAAAGAAGACUUUGCAUAGGAGAUUGCUGGAUGCAUGCCUGGUGCUAUGGAAAUUUUCAAUGGUGUAGUUUGCUAAUUUGUUGGAGAUUUGGUAAGUUUCCUAUUUUACCUUCUUAUUAAUUCUUGGUAUGCUUUGAGCAAUUUCAGACAGAAUUUGGAGCUUAAGUAAAUAAGCAAUAUUCUUAGUGGCAUCUUGUGAUAUAACUUGUUUUGAUAUGUGGUGUAUAUGAAACACGAAGGUGGUACAUUUGGAAAAAUGAGUUAUAUAGUCAUGAUCAAUUCAUUUGUACCAGCUAAAUUUGCUUAUUGUAACAUCAGUUGAACAUUCUUUUCUCCAUUUGUUUAUGCGCAUUUUACAUAUCUCCUAGCAAUAUAGUGUGGUUUUAUAUCUUCUUUAUUUAUUUUGAAUUUGACCAAGUCAGCUUGCAUUAGUCUUUCAAUUGAACCAGAUAUUUAGAUAGAUCGUUUUGGUUGAAUCAUCUCAACCUUUUCUUUUGCCAACUUAUUUUAUUGUGAUUUUGUUAUGAUGAAUUUUUGGUAACUUAGCUAUAACGUUAUUAUUUUUGGAUGAAUAAGGUGGGAGUGCCACCAUCCUAAGUAAAAUUUGGACCUUCUUGAGGAGAAGAGGGUGCUAUCCGGCUGAGAUAAGUGCAAUGGAUUUUAAGUUUAUUAUAUUUCUUUGACUUUUUUUGCUGCAUAUAUGGUAACCUCUUUACAUUGUAGGCUUUUUUGUGUUUUUACUCCCCCCUUGUGUGUGUGUGUGUGCGCGCGUCUGUUGGGGGUGCAGUUGAAGAUGGUAGAAGUUUUACUUUGCUCUGUGAUUUGAUACAAAGCUGUGGUUCUUAUAGUUCAAUCUGUUGUUAUGACUGCUUCCAGUGACAGCUUGUAACAUGCUUUGAAAAAGCUUUAAACAUGGGUUAAUGUUGAAGCGUUUAGGUAAAUUUACCAGUUACUGAAAAAGUUCUGUCCUAAAUUGUGCGCAGAUCAUGUUGGCAUUUUAGCAUUCUAAAAUCAUGAUUUUUCAAGACACUAGAUCCUUUAUAUAGAGGGAUAAAAGAUGCUGAAAAUCUUGCUUAGGCUAUGCAAUAACUUGUCAAAUAGCUUGAUAUUUAAUCAAUUAAUACAUGAAAAGACAUUCUUCUUGGUUCAUUUUACAUGGCUUUCGGUAUUAAUUUAGCAAGGGCUUUUCAAUUCUCUCUUCAUUUUGCUUCUUUUACUGGAACAUGUCAUUUGAUAGGAAAAUUUGGUUGGGCCAGACCUGGACCUGAAUUUGUUAAGAAACCUCGCUGGAUCAUCGAACCGUUCAGUCUGAAUCGUCUGGUCUCGGACCAAUGAUUAAAAUAGUGAUGAGAGAAGUGACCUUGCUCCGUAUCUUCCUUCCUAACUCUUUUUAUUCCUUUUAUCCUUCGUGCUUGAUGAAGCAGUCGAUGAAACAUAGAUGGGACACCAUCUAAAAAUAGUGAUGGUAUGGAAUUCAACUUAGAUGCUAACCUGGUGGUGAAGACCUAGCUGUCAAUUAUGAAUAACUUUGAUUUCCUCCUGCCAGAUCACACUAUAAACUACUGCCUUUAUGAGAGCUUGUUGUAGCCUCUCUUCAUGCUCCCUCAACUCCUCUUGGCAAAAAGAGAAAACUUCCAGUUUAACCUCCUAAUUUUGAAAACCUUAGGAUUUCGUUCCCUCUUCUUAACUGCAAUCCUCUCUGUGUCUGUAGAAGCUUGAAGCUCCUUUCUGUUGCAGACCACAUUGGUGGCCAUUGGAUGGUAAUUGUCAUUGGUUGUUGCUAAGAGUUCGUAGAUGGUGGCUUUUGGUGACCUAUCUCAUGGAAGGAGUUUCAAUGAGGGGAAAAGAUAGAUGUAUUUGGGAGUGGCAUCUGGUAGAGGAACAAGGGCAGUAGUGUUUGACUCUCAAUUGACUUGUGGUUGGACCUUGACCUGUAACCUAAGCAGCGAUAAUGCGUUAGGCUGGGUCAGCAGGUUCAAAAUACUGCCUAAAAUAAUAUUUCGAGUUUUGCAUUAAUAAGAUGGGUUCAUUUUUGGUCGACUUGAAGGAAGAUUUUGCUUUGAGCUAAAUAAAGGUCAUCCAAUUGUACAAGGCUACUAUGAAAAUCAAUAAUUUGAUGGAUAUUUUUUGAGUGAAUUACAAAACCCUCUUGAGAUUAGGGAUAAAUUACACUUACACCCAAUAGUUUGAAAAACCUAUAUUUACCAUCAUGAGGUUUGUUUUUAUCUGAUACUUUAACCCAUAACUUAAUAGAAUGUUAGUCAAACCAUUAACAUUAAUGAGACUCAAAUGCUAGAUCAGAAAAAGAAUUCAAAACGACCAAAUUAACCUUAAGUGUCAUGACAACCACCCAGGGAGAUAAGAAAAAAGGUGUAUCCUCCUCCCCACCCAAGGGUAAUUUUGACUUCUCAUAUGAGAUAAAUAGUUUCACUGAUGCCGUUAAUUUAACUGGGUGCAAAUGUAGGUUUUACAAGCUAUUGGUUGUAAGUGUAAUAAACCUUUUUUUUUUUGUGGGUGGGGGGGUGUGGGGGGGUAAUUUACUCUCUUUUUUUUUUUGCUCCAAUAAGUUUGGAAUUUUUAAACAUUCUAGAACAUGCUGAAACAUUCUUCUAAAUUUUAUUGGCAUUGUGAGAAUUACCAUGAUUGGCUUCUUUUUAAGGGUUAUUGAAUCAUGGAUUGUUUUAUGAAAAUGCUAAGGUGGUUAUAAGCUUUAAUAUAUUGUAAAGAAGUAUAACUCCUUUUGCUGGAUGCCUGUUUUGAGAUCCAUGUGUACUUUGUGAAUGCAGAAAUGUUAUCAGGGAUUCAGUGUCAUAUUGACCUCAUGGAAGCAGCCAAAAUUGAUAUUGGUGUUGGGAAAGAUAUCAUUUUUUAGAUGCUAAUAUUUUUGCAUAAAUAGGUUGAUCACCAAGGCUUUGAUCGAGAUGGUUGUAAUGUGGCGGCACUAGGGCAUGAUAGUUUGGCCAAAAUGGGAUAUUAUAGUGGAGUAGAGAUAUUGUUAGCGGGAUAGAAAGAUGAUAAGAGAUGUACUUAAGAUGCAGUGCAAGUUAGAUCAGCGUCUGUUAAAAAUGUUAAUUAACAGAUGAUUGGACCACUAUUAUGUUGUGGUAGUGAUGACGGAGGUGGUUAUUAUUUACAGAAUGUGCAGUAUAUGAAUAUUAUAUGUUAAUACCUGAUUUUGCCUCUAAAGUGCAGUGUAGCAUAAUGCUAGUGAUACUUACUAUUUUCACUCAAUUAGAUAGUACGCAGAAUCAUGUAAAACCUUCUUUUACUUUCUGCAGAAUUCCUUGCUAGUGCAAAUGAACUUAUGUUAAAAUGGUCUUUAAUUUCUUCACAUGUUCAUUCACUGGAAAAGUUGGAAUACUACAAUGAUGCAAUCUUAUAUUUGUUGUGAUAACUGAUAAAUAUUAGUAAUGCUUUCUGGAGCAAAGAAUAUGUGCAAAUUAGUUGUUUUAAAUCGUCAUGAGUUUGAUACAUUAGCUUUAUUAUCAAGAACCACUGCUUUGCAAAUUUCCGUUGAAAAGGUUUUCGGUGAAGCUGAUAUUGUCAUUUAUAAUGUCCAAUUGAACCAUCAUAUGCCUGCAAUAUAUGAUCUAAUCUGGGAGAAGGUAGAAAUUUCUUCAACCCGCUCAACUCGAAUCUUGUAAAAGAAAAUUUUGAACAUAGGCAUAUUGGCGAAAGUAGGGUAUAGGUCCCCUUUGUUUUCUUGAUGAAUCAUAAAUUCCUUUUGUUUUCUUGAUGAAUCAUAAAAUUAAGUUACAAAGUCUUUAUUUAUACUAGUGAAAGAAUUGUUGUUAAAGAUAAUCAAGUGACGACCAUAUGAUUUGGAGUCCAUUUGGCACCUUCUCUUUCAUGCCCAAACGAGCUAGGUAAAGCUAUUAGGAUACAGGGCUAAUUUAGGGACAUUGGGAGUUAAGGUUAGUCAUGUGAGGUGAUGUGACCCCUUAUGGUAGUAGAGAUGAAAAGUCAUAUCGCAUCGCAUAAGAAAAUUAACUUGAGGGACUUAAUUGCAAAUUUUCAAAGAAGAGGGGGUCUAUGUGUGAGAUGUUGAAAUUUUAGAGGGUCAGAAUUUAUUUUCCCCUUUUCCCGGGAGGGAGGAGUGUUGGGGCCUUGAGACUGAGAAAAACCUUUGAGAGUUAAUCAAAGUGGCCUCGCCUUGUAGUUCUUGUUCCACAAAAUAUGGGUUACGAAAUAAAUUCAAGCACUAAAUAGGUGAUUAACCUAAUUGGUGUGCUCGCAUCAACCUUGCAACUAUGAUUUUUUUUUCCAAAUAAUUAUUUGAAUAGAAAGGAGAGAUAUGUAGACAUAGAGUAGGGAGUAUGUACAGUAGUUUAGAUGGGCCAUUGAGGAAGAGAAAAUGAGGAAGCAAGCAAAGAUCUUACCAUAGUGGUAAAUAAGUAACUCAUAGAGAGAAGUUUUGGAGUUUCUACCUUCACUUUCUACACUAAACUAGUUAGUUUUUUUCAUGACCAAACAAAAUAAAGUUUUCUUCACCAUUUUAAAGCAGCACAUUAAUGCUAAAUAAGGAAAACUACUUUCACAUCCCCUUGACUUUUGGCCAUUUGCAGUUACCAUCCCUCUUCUUUUAAAAAGUUUCAAUUAGCUCAUUUAACUUUCAAUUUGAGUCCACCCUUCCAUCCAUCUCCAUUUACCGGUUGGUAGUGUAAGUUAGCAUGCAACUACCACGUGCCCUCAUUGGCAGGGUUUUCUUCAAAAAAUUACCUUGUUGGCUGGAAAGCUUAGGAUGGUAAGGUGUUUGGCACCAACUAAUAGGAUCACAUGAUUGUCAUGAUGUUAAGUGUGUUGAUGUCAAAUAGUGAGGAAGAGAGAGAGGAAAAGAGAGGAUCUUGGUUGAGGGCGUUGAUGAGCACGAGGUCACGAUUGAGGGAGAAUGCUGUGAGACCAAUGCACAACGUUUUUUAUCUUUACAAUUCCUUUAAUGAUAUCUAGAUGUAGUAAUUAGUGUUCUCACCUUUAUAAAAAUUAAAAUUUAUCUGUGUUAGCUUGCAGAUCAAACAUAUACCUGUCACUCAAUUUUGCUCUUGUCCUUGUCAUGGGACCUCCCAAGCAGUUGAUUCCUUGCUGUCCUCCCAUUUUCCUUAAAGCAAAAGGUGAUAAAGGUUGAAGGACAGAAGCAUCACUUUUUAUGCUCUCUCUAUCUCAAAACCAUUAAGAAAACUAUUGUUGCUUACCAACUAAAAAGGAAGAGUUUGUAAGUGUUUAUUAGUUGAAAUGGAGAGACGCCCAUCUGCUGCUUUUGUUUCUCUUCUUUCUUCUUGUUUUUCUUUUCCUUUUACCCCAUAUUCAAAGAAAUGAGUGGUGGCAACCCCUGCUGUUUUGCUCAAAUGAAGUUAGUUGAAAUGGUGGACUCUGUUGGCAUUCUCUACUCCGUUUUGUGUUAGUGCUGCACUGUACCAGAGGCUGAGCCCGGUGAGCGGUGAAAUGAUGGACACCGUGAUGGAGGAGCAGAAGGGGUGACCCAUUGGACGGUGGUGGUGACAUUAUCAACCUGCACAUGGUGAAGGGGGAGCGACUGGCAGUGCUCUCAGUCAAUGGCUUUUCAUAGAUUUGGUACAUGUGAUGCCACCUGAUCCUUGGCCUUGCCACCUGUGGCUUUUGUGCCAUCAGCCAUGGCCUCAGCAACUUCAGUAACAUUGAGUACCUACCCAGUAUCUCCUCUUACUCCUUGUUCCACCAUGUUGGCGACCUCAUUGUCCUUGUCGAUGCUCUCAGCCAAGACAAGUUGACUGUUCGGGGAUGCCAUGAAUGGUUAGCCUGCAGAGUUUGUUCUCAGCAGAUGAUGCAAGUACAUUUGUUUGGCUAUCAUCCGCAGUGCACAUUGUUCAGGAAGAUGACUGUUGACAGCAUGCUGCUCCUGUUUUUCAUCUGCAAUGUUCCAGAUGUAUGCAGAACGAGGGCAACCGAUGUCUAGGUGCUUCUUAUGUCAUGUAGCACGGGUUCAGUUUUUAAUGAUUACUGUUACAAGAGUCCAUCUUUUUGACCAACAUGGGGGACAUUUGCUUUAUCAUUCACGCUGAGCAUUUCUUGGCUGUUUCUUCGUGCACGUCUGUAAGAAAAAGACAAAAAAAUCAUAAGUAAAGGUAUGCAGUCAUAUCCAACAUAACAUCCCCAGUCAUGGUCACUGCAGGCAAGGUGGUGGUGGACACGAUUAUGUCAGGAAAACUUCAGACUCAAUAAUCCUCAACUCCAUGGGCAGCAUCACUGUAGCUUAAGAUCAGUUCUAUUUCUUUAAUAUGUGUAGCUAUAGUCUUCUUCUCAGACAUACUGCACUUGGAUCCAAUUCCCACAUUUGUGUAGUUUGUGGACUGAAGAUGGCAAUCUUAAUUUCAUCCUAUUAGUUAUGGGAGCAAAGCCGCCACAUGAUCAACAAGGUACACUAUUCUCUGGAUAUUUGCACCUAGGCAAUUCAUUUGAUUCUUAGGUGUUUGAUACGAGGGUAAAUUGUUGCGGAUCAUGCUCUUGACAAUUUGAGGUAACCUUUCCCCUUUAAUUUCUUAAUUGUGGCCGUUGUAUUAUGUUGGUAAUAACUGGUCAUCAAUUUCCCAUGCUUUGGAUUUAAUGUUUAUUUCUUCUAGAGUUAAAACUUGUCAAACUACACAGAGAAACGCUCCUGAGCAUAAAUGAGAUGAUAUCUGAUUUCAUUGAGUGAUGCGUCUUCAUGCGCUACUGGUAAAUAAAACAUGAUGUGAGCCAGCUUUUUAGUUCCAUCUCUUUUGUGCAACUUGUAGAUAUUGUCCAUUGUACUGCUAUUUGUUGGUGUUUGCUUUGGGCAUGUGAUUUAUGUUCUCAAAUGUACACUGGCCUUCAUAAAGACAAUAGGUUAUGGCCUCUACAGUGAUCAAAAACCAGGGAUGCACAUGGAAUAAUAUGAUUAAUCACAUAAAUAAUGACCAUAAAGCUUCAUCAUUUCGUUAUUUCUUGAGAUGUCAUCGUGAUUUAACAUAUGAAAAUGAAAUGUCUGCAUUUAGAGGUAAAAUACGGUGGUAUUUUCAAAUAAGAAGCUUCUUUGUAUCUAUUCUGGACUCAGCCUUGUGGAAUAGUCCUGCGAAGGCACAAAAUAUAUAUUUUAUGUUUUGGGUUUGACCCAGUAAAAUGGGUUUACCAAACGUUAUAUUAGUAGCUGGUGUCCAAUUUGUAUUAUAGUAGAUGGCAUUGAUGAUGUAGGAAGCAAAGUUGAAGAGGAUGCCCCUAAUUAACAAACAGCUUAGCUCUUUGUUAUAGUCCUCGCACUUAUCUUACUGAUUUGGUGAACAUUGUGGAAUUUUUAUCCAUGUCAAUUGCAACAUAAUGUAUGGAGAUACAUGCGUCAUCUUCAAUAGUUGAUGUUUCUUUUUUUGGAUCUUCUGAGAACAUGCCUAAUAAUUCCUCCUGUUUUGCAGGAAUGGAAUAUUGACUUUCUCCAGACUUAGUAAUGUUACAUUUAUUUGCAUUCUUUUGUUAACUAGGGAUUGUUUUAACUGCAGUCUCACUGCAGGUGUAUUAUGAAAUAAUGUUGUGUUUUUCUUCACUCUUAUGAUACAGGCUGGGUUUGGUUGAACAUUUUGGGGCCAUUAACUGCUUCAUCUUGAUUUAAAACAUCAUAAGUCGUCUUUCAGUAGUGAAAGACUGAACUCUGGUUUUGCAAUCGUGAGAUGAUGACCCGGAUUCUUUCUAUACCUCUCGCACGUGGACAUCGGCCAGAUCAGAUGGGAUGGGCUUCCACACAGAAUCUCUCUGUUACUUCCAAGGAGGUUGCCAAGGUCUCGUUUCGGAACUGGGGUCUUUCAGUGCUGAGCAAUCAGCAUUCUCUCCAUUCUGACUUGAUUUCUUGGAGGUCCUCUACCCUAGGGACAUUUAUGUUAAACUUUGAUGGGAUGGUAAGUCUAAUAAUGCAGCUGCAGGAUACAUCAUUAGAGAUCAUGAUGGUUCCUUACUGGCCGGCCGCUGGAGGUAAGCAGCUCUUCAGUUAUUUGGUCUCUUAUGCUGAGAUGAUUGGUGUCUGGCUGGGGCUUCAAUAUCUACUUUCCCAUACCACGGUUCGGAAGGUGUGCAUCCAAGGAGACUCUAUGGUGGUGUUGAGUUGGUUACAUUAUCUCCCAGACAAAUUAAAGCACUCCUCUUUCAUCAUGGAUGAAGGAUAUUUGCUUCUGGUUGAAAUUCUUCGAUCAAGUUUCCUUUUCCCAUAUUUGCAGAGAAGGGAAUCAAGCUGCCGAUUGGAUUGCUAAUCAAGCUCUUGGUGGAGAUUUCUUUAUCUCCACUGCUCAAUUACAUAUGCACCCUGCUUUUAUCUGGAUCUUGGCUGCUGAUGCAUAUUCGGUUGGAUUUCCACGACAUGGCAUUUAGCACUUACAUGCAAAGAUCUAUCCUGGACUCUCAUAAUUCCAUAACUACAUCUCUGUGUUUGAACUUGCUGAGCAUGAAGUUCGUUUCCUGCUUCUUUGGCACCGUGACUACCAAUUAUACUGAAUUUGAGGGACCUGCUAUGAUGAUACUUCUUAGAGGGGAAAAAAGCAAUGGAAAUGAUCAAAAAACAAGAAGGAAAAAAGAAAUAAAGAUAAAAGUAAGAAGGGAAAAGAAAAAAAAAGGAAAAAUGGAAAAAUAAUGGAGAAGGAAAUUGCAUACAAAAUUGAAGAGUUUUUGCUAACUUCUAUUUGUUUUCCUUGUGCAGGAUAUCAUUGUUCCUCAAUAUGGCAAAUAUGCUUAUUUAUGUCAAGCCUCAUACAUUUACCUCUUCUGUUUUAAACCAAUUGGUGCCUUGUCUCUAUUUGGUGGUUGCUCUUUAUUUCAUCAUGUAUACAUGGCCCCUUUUGUAUCAGUGCCUUCUAUUGCUCCUUCUUACGCAUACUGUAUCUCAGGAGGGUAUGCAGAUGAUGAGAUCCGUAAUGUUGUUACGGAGAAAAUUGAGAGAAAUGAGAAAAAUUGAGAUAGUACAAUAAAAGAAAGAACAGGGAUUAAAAGUACAAAAAAAAAGCAAAAGAAAACAAAAAGGAAAAAAAAGAACAAAAAGAAAAAAAUAAAGAAAAUCUGACUGGUUCUACUAACAUUGUCUUCCUUUUAUUGUGCAGGAUCUUUAAGCUUUUCUUCUUUGGAGUUAUCAUUAUGCCUUUUCAUACUCAUACUCAUACUCUUGUUUUCCUUGCACUAAUCUGCUUGCUGAUUGUCCAUUAUCCGGCGAUGUUGUUUUGGGUUCACUUGUGUACAUCAUGCCAGUACAUGUGUCUUCCCAUAUAAAGAUCAAUGACAUCAUUAAAGGUUCUCCAAUACACUGUACAGUAUGAUUGGAUAUUAAUCUUCAAGCUUCUGCUUUCAUCAAUAUACAGGAUAUCUAUGUACAUGAAGGAUUGUUUCCUGAUACUACAUAGUUCCUUCAUACAUGAUGGCCAAGCUGAUGGGAUAUACUGUUUGAUAUGCUUUCUUCAGAUGCUGUGGGAUCUAAAUUGGAUUUCAUGUUAUUUUCUAAAUGAUGUAAUCCAAAUCUUCAUUACCGAUGGGAGUUGGUACACUACACACUUUUCUUACUGUUUUUUCUAUGUCCCAAUUGAUGUUUCAGUGAGUAUUCAUACUGAUGGCAUGGGGCAUAUCUUAAACUUCCCAAAUGCUCUAAUUACUGAUGGGAGUUGGUUCCUUACAGACAUUUGUUCCUGUUACAUUUAUGUCCCAAAUGAUGAUUCAAUGUCAAUUGAUGCUGAUGGGAAGGGGCAUAAUCCAGCUUUUAAACUGUUCAGACCACACAUUUUUUACCAGCAACUGCAUCUUCCGGUAUGUUUCACUACAGAAGUUGGGAGACUGUCGGUUAUUCAAGGAUUUGCUCUUCCUUUGGUCUUCAAUUUUCACAGGAAUGUACACUGCUCUUCACCUAUGCUGACAUGCUUUGCCGACCAUCCAAGGAGUAUUUUAAAUCUUAACAUCACAAUUCACAGCCUACAGGUUUCUUUUGGAUUGAAGCUGCUAUGUUUAAGUACUGUGCCAGGAUUGCUGUUAUCAGACAUGUCUCUAGAAGUCUGCAAUAUAUUGUUACAGCUUAUAGGUUUUUUGGUUGGAACUUAUGCUUACUGGGUCUCUUUUGUUAUAAGCUGUUUCUUCUGUUUUCUUUGUAUAAAAGUGUAUACAUAAUGUGUUCGGUCUUGCCAGGAUGGUUGGUCCCAUUGUGUAUAGAUAAGCCUUCUUGUCCUUGUUAUCAGGUUGCUGUUAUUAUGGUUCUUAGUCUUAUGUUUCUGAUACUGUUCACAGGUCUAUUGUACAAUCCCUUUUUAUUUUGCAAUGAAGUAUUUUUUUUAUCAAAAAAAAAAAA